CCUACGGGUGGCAGCAGUGAGGAAUAUUGGUCAAUGGGCUUACGCCUGAACCAGCCAAGUCGCGUGAGGGAAGACUGCCCUAUGGGUUGUAAACCUCUUUUGUCAGGGAGCAACGCCCGCUACGUGUAGCCGGACUGAGAGUACCUGAAGAAAAAGCAUCGGCUAACUCAGUGCCAGCGGCCGCGGUAAAACGUAGGGGGCAAGCGUUAUCCGGAUUUAUUGGGUGUAAAGGGACCGUAGACGGCAGCACAAGUCUGGAGUGAAAUGCCGGGGCUUAAACCCGGAACUGCUUUGGAAACUGUGCAGCUAGAGGGCGGGAGAGGUAAGUGGAAUUCCUAGUGUAGCGGUGAAAUGCGUAGAUAUUAGGAAGAACACCAGUUGCGAAGGCGGCUUACGGGACUGUAACUGACGUUGAGGCUCGAAAGCGUGGGGAGCAAACAGGAUUAGAUACCCGUGUAGUC
rnacentral:rRNA from 1 species